ensembl:ncRNA lncRNA:CR45553 long non-coding RNA:CR45553
GUCGCCAAAGGAUCACGAGCAGCUGUGAUGGGGAGCACAUGUGCGUGCAUCCACAGAGGGCUCCAAAAAUAUAGCACUUAAAACAUAUUCGAAUAAAAUGCAUUAAAAGUGUGUUAUAGCAACGCUGCGGGGAAAACCGGGGGUCCGUUCGAAACACUUGUCUUUCAUAUAUCUUGUGCAGUCCGCGAUGCGAUACAGGAAGUCCGCACAUCGCUGUCAAAACUAAAGCCCCCAAAUGCCAGCAAUUGAAAGCGUUCGCUAAUCAAAAAUCUAAAUCGGAAUCAGCACAAAAUCAGAAAUCGGACAGAAGGCAGAAGGUGAAAUCACUUGAGAUGGGCAUCUUCCGACAGAUGCCCCUGCCACAAGGCACCCUGUACAGGCCCCGCUGGCUGUGAUGCACUGCCUCCACUCGCACAUCGAACGCUGGCCACGGCAAAGGAAAAAGGGAAAAAAACGAACGGAAAAUAAAGGAAAAAAAAAGAAAAGCGCAUGAAAAAGGAAAAGACGGCGUCAAAUGCCGCCCGGCCAAAUGGCCAGCCGGAUCAGCCCAAUGUAUUCCACCCGAUUCAGAGUUGUUUGCCCACAGAGGGUAUCGAUGAGAUGUCUGGGCUUAUUGGAAAAAAAAUGUUGGAAAAAGGGAAAUGCAACACGGGCUUAUGGGGAUAGUAAGUCCCUCUGAUAGAGUGGACAAAUUGGUAUUCCAAAGUCGGAAGAUAUCACUAUCUUCAUCCUUGGCUGCCUCUUUUUUCUGUCUAUUGUUAAAUCCACCCAAAAUAGCUCCACGCACAUUGACGAGAAGAGUGCGUGGGUCUUUGACGGGGAGUAUGGAGAGUAGGGGGUAUGCGGAGUAAGGGGAGUACAGACCAUAUGAGAUGGCGAAUGAGGAGUGUUGGCACUUCACGGCGGAGUUUCACAUUCUGACGGGCCUCAGACGUCCGGCAGCCGCACUAAUUGCAUUCGCCUGGUCAAACGAAGAAAUUGCAACAGGCGGACAAUUAGCGAGCGAACUCAUUCGCAUUCAAAUUUCACAUUUGCUCAAAGAAAGAACAGAAAUACUGCACUCAGAAAAAUGGUUAACUCACUUCUUACUUCAUUGCAGAUAUUUUGAUAUUUUAUAGAACUCUGGAGUUCAAUUUCGGAAGGAUUAGGAUACAUGUGGGAUCACAGCCUUGUACUUUUACUUUUUAACAUACGAAAUAUUGUCAGAUAGUUUCCUCUUUUUACCAAAUAAAGCUUUCUAAAUGUAAAUCCAAUUUGGUAGGAUUUUCUCUCAGUGUAGAGGCACACAGUGUAGAAAAGAUCGGAACGAAGGCAACAAAAAACUUUUGAAACGCGACGAAGAUCAACGUUCAAAAUUGAGCAGACGUCAGCAGCGGCAGCAGAUCGGCAG